GAAGCAGAGAAAGAAAGCAGAAAGCAGAGAUCUUUGAAGGCUUAAGAAACCAUAAGGAGUUUUGGAGAGUCAAUGCAUGAUGAUCUCUGAAGAUUCUACUGAAAUCUAAUCAAUAUGUCCUCACUGCCAUCAAUUCAAAAGAACUUGCUAAGAAGGCUCUAGAGGCUUGUACUCUCAGAUAGUGAAAGUGAGAUGAUGUGUAGUGAAAGUCAUAUAUAGGUUGUAAAUUGCAAUAUGGAAUUCCCAAAUGCUGAAUUCAUUUUAUCUCUUCGGAAAUAAAAACCUGUUAAAGACU
rnacentral:lncRNA from 1 species